GAAAAAUUGUUGUAUCAAAAGGGACAAAAUCCGUCCACAUUUAUUUAUUAUGCGGUGACCCGGAAGAAAAUAUAAAUAAUAAAGCAAAAGAGUUCUGUUGAAAGCCAAAAGCGGAAAAGGAAAAGAGCGCUGUGGAAACCACAAAAUGGCCAGCGACACGCCGCCCCAGUUAACUUUGCCUUCAAACAUCAUUUGUCAGGGCGAGCACACAAGGCCAAAAGGGAAAAUGGCACGAAAGGAAAUAACUACCAAGGCAGAGGCGAAUUUUCACGGCUCUUUAAGCGCCCAGACUUCGAUACAAAAAUGUGUUUUGCUUAUUAGAUGAGCCGGGCAACCCUGGCAAUCCAUCAGCCGUGCAGCAACACUGACGCCGCCCUGACGUUGAUUGCCCACCCGCUGCUCCCCUCACAUAAGUGAAAGAUCACACCAAAGCAAUCUAAUCCGGUGCCGGGCAAAUUGUCCAAUGCUUUUUGUGUUGUGUCUUGUGGUUGACAGGCGGGCGAACAUUUUGACAGCUACCCAAAACCAGAGGAAAAAUGGAAAAGUGGCAUACACCAGAGAUGCAAUUCGCUUGGGUUUGGUUGUUCUCCAAAUCCUCUCUUGACCAGUUGCCUUUCCUGGCCAAUAAUUUUCUACAAUUAUUGAAAGUUCUGGUGUUGCAAAUGGUAUGUUAUAAAAUUCUUGAGAUAAUACGACAAUUUCAAAUGAAUUUAACAACUUUCGGAUAUUAGUUUUGAUUCGAUUUCGUAUCAGCAUCUCUGUUUAAGCCAAGCUGUAGCUGUGAGCAGACUCCGAAAUGUAUGCUAUGGUUUUUGCUAUACUUUUUGUAUUCCACCUAAUCAAAUGCAUGUGUGGACGCCGUGAGGUAGUUGCUGCAGAACCCCAUAAAGUGCACACGUGUGGAUGAGAAGUCGCAAAUGCCAUUCCCAGAGUUCACAGUUCAUGCGAAGCCUUGACAUGUUUAGCAUAAAUUUUGCUGAUGACCUCAAUUUCGGCUUAAAGGCAAAAGCCGAAAAUAUGCUGCUGCUUAUCCGUCCAGAAGACCAGAGCAAUUAAUGGCAAGCAUUUGCCAGGGCAUUUUAAUAAAAUGAUUAAAACUUAUUUGCCAGCUGACAGCUCAAUUUGUGACCUCUGGCUCAAAGGCAUUUUCCAUCAGGCUGACCUUUCAGUUUCCCGCACUUCGGGGACCAACCUUCGACCUGUGAGCUCUUAAUUUGCCCCUCGGGCGGAUAACUGGCGGCAGUCGGCGCCAUAAAUAAGCCCCAGACCCAUGCAAUUAUGCGCUUGAGCUGUCAUUGCAGUGGCCCUGCUCGUUGGUGUGAAAAUUGCAUAUUGGCAUAAAUUAAUCAGCAGCAACAACGCCUGCGAUUGCGAGGCCAUCAGCUGGCCAUGAUUGCACCGGGCCAAGCCAGUCCGUCCACGUGUACCAGUGUCCCAUCUGAAUGGCAU
ensembl:ncRNA lncRNA:CR44949 long non-coding RNA:CR44949